rnacentral:rRNA from 1 species
GACGAACGCUGGCGGCGUGCUUAACACAUGCAAGUCGAACGGAAAGGCCCUGCUUGCAGGGUACUCGAGUGGCGAACGGGUGAGUAACACGUGGGUGAUCUGCCCUGCACUUCGGGAUAAGCCUGGGAAACUGGGUCUAAUACCGGAUAGGAGCCAUUUUUAGUGUGAUGGUUGGAAAGUUUUUUCGGUGUAGGAUGAGCUCGCGGCCUAUCAGCUUGUUGGUGGGGUAAUGGCCUACCAAGGCGGCGACGGGUAGCCGGCCUGAGAGGGUGGACGGCCACAUUGGGACUGAGAUCCGGCCCAGACUCCUACGGGAGGCAGCAGUGGGGAAUAUUGCACAAUGGGCGCAAGCCUGAUGCAGCGACGCCGCGUGGGGGAUGACGGCCUUCGGGUUGUAAACUCCUUUCGCUAGGGACGAAGCUUUUGUGACGGUACCUAGAUAAGAAGCACCGGCUAACUACGUG